UGUUUUUACUUUUGCUCAUUUUUAUAUGCUUUAUCUCAGAACAGGAACGUUUGCAUCAAGAGAAAGAAUGUAAGCAGGUUCUGAUAAAAUUGAAUGAAUUAAAAGAAAGAAUUUCCACUUUGAAAAAGGAACUUUCCAAUUAUGAGGAAAGAAGAAAGAUCAAAGUUAACGAAUUUCAAUUGCUGUAAACAAAAUUUCAUCAGAGAUUAUGAUAGCUAAACUAAAAAAUAUGACUACUACUAACAGGUUUAUAUCUCGAUUAAAAUGUAAGAGCAGAAUUAUAAAGUUGCAAUGAGAGAAAUGGUCUUUUUAAUAUUUUGUUUUAGAGACAGUAAUAAAAAAAAAUCUGACAGUGAAAAAUGAAAAAUGCCUCACAAGUCAUAAAGAGGCAUUACAAAAUAAAAUUACUUAUCAAUUAUAUUCAUCUGUAUUUCAAAGAGAGCCAUUGAGUACAAACAAUAUGCCACCUGCAAUAUUUUCAAAUAGGGUGCAUAUCAAUAAAAAGUUACCAUCUAUGUUAAAUUGCACAGCGCAACAUAUUAUUCUGUCUGCAACUUUAUACGUACCUGCGAGGAUUAUUAGUGGCACUCAGGAAACCGUAAUAAAUCGAACGCGAAUGAGCUCUGGAAUCCGUCGAGCAUUGCUCUUCGUUGUCAAGCCUUUUGCGAGAACCCAAAUAAAUCUUUUCUUCGCUGGUUAAUGUUUGAGUCGACCUGUCUUUUAAAAUCAAGAUUCGGCUGUAUAUGAGAGGAGGUAACACGAAGACCAACGAUCCAGUUAAUGAUCCACCGAUGAGAGUCAUAACGAUAUCGAAUCGUGAUACCGAUUCACCCACGGCUACACUAAGUAAAACCACCGCUGAUCUCAUGACGCAUCGUUUCCAUCCAAACGCUACAAGAAUACAAUUGAUCUUCCAGAUGCUGGAAGAGCGCCGAGUAACCGAUUACGCUGGAGAAACAUAAUUGAAGAGCAGCUAGGAGAACAGCGAUGUCGGCAACUGAUCCUGAUGGCACAACUUCGAGAAUAUUGGCCGUUGUAUUACUACCGUACUUCCAGAUAGCAAGGCAAACGGUAACGGCGAAUAAAGAUGCGCUUGCUGAAAAGAAAGAGUUAAUGUAAAAAAGAAUAGCAGACAGAUUUUGCGAAAAUUGGAUGUAUACUGUGGGUAAGAAAAAUUAUUUAGAUAUUGGAAAAUCAAUAGUCUUGAAUAGUGAUUCGAUAUGUCAAAUUAUAUUGAAAAAGUAAAUAUCUUUGAGAAAAA